rnacentral:rRNA from 1 species
GACGAACGCUGGCGGCGUGCUUAACACAUGCAAGUCGAACGGAAAGGCCCUGCUUUUGUGGGGUGCUCGAGUGGCGAACGGGUGAGUAACACGUGAGUAACCUGCCCUUGACUUUGGGAUAACUUCAGGAAACUGGGGCUAAUACCGGAUAGGAGCUCCUGCUGCAUGGUGGGGGUUGGAAAGUUUCGGCGGUUGGGGAUGGACUCGCGGCUUAUCAGCUUGUUGGUGGGGUAGUGGCUUACCAAGGCUUUGACGGGUAGCCGGCCUGGGAGGGUGAACGGCCACAUUGGGACUGAGGUACGGCGCAGACUCCUACGGGGGGCAGCAGUGGGGAGUAUUGCACAAUGAGCGGAAGCCUGAUGCAGCAGCGCCGCGUGCGGGAUGACGGCCUUCGGGUUGUAAACCGCUUUCGCCUGUGACGAAGCGUGAGUGACGGUAAUGGGUGAAGAAGCACCGGCUAACUACGUG